GCCUUCGUGGUGUAGUGCUCAGCACACUUGGCGUGUAUUCGAGAGGUCCGAGGUUCGAGUCCCGGCGAGUGCA
rnacentral:tRNA from 1 species